rnacentral:lncRNA from 1 species
AUUGGCAGAAAGUUCUGGAAGGGGCAGGAAAGUGGGGCGCGGGAGGGGCCAGAGGAUUGGUUUUCUCAUUAUAACCCCUGAAAGGAGGACCCAGAAAUCAUCCCGUUACAACCAUACAUGCAAAAAAUCCCUGUACAAAAAAAAACCAGAAUUUGUACGACUGUAGAAAAGCCAGAAUACAGUUCAGCAAUUCAGAAAACCAAAAUCUGCAAACCAACCUAAAACUCGGCAAGGCGCUCCAGCUUUCCCUGUAUAAUUAACAGAGACAGGGUCUCCUUCUCACCGUGUCUUCCUCAACAUACUGCAAAUGCCAGAAAAAAGGCACUACCCCCAGACAUAUAAGCAUCUCGAGUCCCAACACAACAGCCAAAGAAUAAAACCAGUCCAUCAAAACACAUAAGCAGAUUAGUUAUAACAGUUAAUCAAAGACCAGCAGAUCGUAACAUUAAAGUUUAACUCUGCAAUUUUAAUUGUUUUCGUUGUUGUAAAUUGAGAUUUGAAGUUCUGAUGAUAGAGAUGGAUUUGGGUGGAUAAUUUAUUGUAGCUUUGACUGGUUUGGAUUAGUUAGAAUGAAAGAGAUUGGUGGUUAACGAAGAAGAUAGAGAAGAAAGGAAGGGAGAAAGCAUAAGUCAGAAUUUUGAUGGGAGCAGUGGUUGUUGGAUUGAAGGUUUUAUUUCGGG